GGGGUGGUGGUGCAGUUGGCUAGGGUGCUGGGCUCAUGGCGUUAACGAAUUGUUAAACAAUUUCACACCUCGGUGAGUAAUUCGGAGGUCGAGAGUUUGAUCCUCUCCCACCCCA
rnacentral:tRNA from 1 species